rnacentral:rRNA from 1 species
UCUUGGUCAUUUAGAGGAAGUAAAAGUCGUAACAAGGUUUCCGUAGGUGAACCUGCGGAAGGAUCAUUACCGAGUGAGGGCCCUUUGGGUCCAACCUCCCACCCGUGUUUAUUUACCUUGUUGCUUCGGCGGGCCCGCCUUAACUGGCCGCCGGGGGGCUUACGCCCCCGGGCCCGCGCCCGCCGAAGACACCCUCGAACUCUGUCUGAAGAUUGUAGUCUGAGUGAAAAUAUAAAUUAUUUAAAACUUUCAACAACGGAUCUCUUGGUUCCGGCAUCGAUGAAGAACGCAGCGAAAUGCGAUACGUAAUGUGAAUUGCAAAUUCAGUGAAUCAUCGAGUCUUUGAACGCACAUUGCGCCCCCUGGUAUUCCGGGGGGCAUGCCUGUCCGAGCGUCAUUGCUGCCCUCAAGCCCGGCUUGUGUGUUGGGCCCCGUCCUCCGAUUCCGGGGGACGGGCCCGAAAGGCAGCGGCGGCACCGCGUCCGGUCCUCGAGCGUAUGGGGCUUUGUCACCCGCUCUGUAGGCCCGGCCGGCGCUUGCCGAUCAACCCAAAUUUUUAUCCAGGUUGACCUCGGAUCAGGUAGGGAUACCCGCUGAACUUAAGCAUAUCAAUAAGCGGAGGA